rnacentral:tRNA from 1 species
UUGAUGUUUUCAGCACAUAGCAACGAACUAGUGUCGACGCAUGGCUACUCCCAGAACCAG